CAGUAGCCGCGGUAAUACGAAGGGGGCUAGCGUUGUUCGGAAUUACUGGGCGUAAAGCGCACGUAGGCGGAUAUUUAAGUCAGGGGUGAAAUCCCAGAGCUCAACUCUGGAACUGCCUUUGAUACUGGGUAUCUUGAGUAUGGAAGAGGUGAGUGGAAUUCCGAGUGUAGAGGUGAAAUUCGUAGAUAUUCGGAAGAACACCAGUGGCGAAGGCGGCUUACUGGCUCAUUCUAGACGCUGAGGUGCGAAAGCGUGGGGAGCAAACAGGAUUAGAUACCCCGGUAGUCCCUGUCUCUUAUAC
rnacentral:rRNA from 1 species